UACAAUUUAACAUACGUUUUAUUAACAUUUGUACAACAUAAGUGCACCAUUACAUUUAAAGCUGCAAUGUGUACAUUUUAAGCUGAUCUAUUGACAGGAAUGCAAUACAUAACUAUAUUAUCAGUGGUGUAUAAAGACCUUACAUAAUGAACUGUUAUGGUUUUAUUACCUUAGAAUGAGCUGUUUUUAUCUACAUACAUUUGCAUUAGAAGCUGUCAUUUCGCACCGCCAUGUUUCUACAGUAUCCCUAAAUGGACAAACUGCUUUACAGAGCACGUUUCGUCACUAUAUAAAUGUCAUUGCUUGACUGCUCUCUGCUGUCUCAGACGACAACAUGUUUGUCCUGUGGUGGCUACCAUAACUUCUCUAUGUGCUUUGAAAGGGAGGGGUGAGCGGUGGACAGAGCCGUUGAUUGCAAAUUCGCCUCACCGCUAGAUGCCACUAAAAUGUACACAUUGCACUUUCAACCUAACAAUGGAGACAAAGAAAUAAAUAAAUUUUGAUCAGAACCAUGUAUAGUCACGUAAUAAUCACUCAUCACAGUUUUAAGUAAAUGCACAAUUGUGGUCUUCUUGUGAACAAACUUGCGAGUGUUUUUCACUUUGCUUGACACUGGCACAGUAAAAUAGAUUAAAAUAGUUAUUAAUAAAUAAAAAA